UGCGUAGGUGGCGCCGUAAGUCGGGUGUGAAAUUUCGGAGCUUAACUCCGAAACUGCAUUCGAUACUGCGGUGCUUGAGGACUGGAGAGGAGACUGGAAUUCAUGGUGUAGCAGUGAAAUGCGUAGAGAUCAUGAGGAAGACCAGUGGCGAAGGCGGGUCUCUGGACAGUUCCUGACACUGAAGGCGACCAAAGGGGCCCACGGGGAAGGCAAACG
rnacentral:rRNA from 1 species